CUGAUAAAGACGCUCCGGAUUCCCUCUGCAGGCGUCUGUUCACGUUGAACAAAUGUGCCGAGAUGAGGCUGGACCUGCCAAAGGACAAAUAUCAAAGCGACGAAGACUUUAUCGAGGACCAUCUUUGCGCCAUCAGCCCCAGGUGGACCUACGACAGGUGGAUGCGACAAUGGCGCCGCCUGGACUCCACUACAGAACUGCUCCGCUUGACUGACACCUCCAGUUCCCCUCAGGACGACGUCAGCUCCAUUCACAGUUCCGGCAGCACCGAGAGCGAAGGGCGAAACGGGAAGAGUCUGAGAGAAG